UGCCUUUGCUUUCAUCUAUGUCAUCAAAAGCAGCAAUGCCGGCGGAGUUCAGAGUUCGGAGUUGGCUUGUUCAAUUUCUGCAUAAAACGGGGAAACUCACGACUGAACAGCAAAUGGAAUUCUGACAAAACUGCACUUUGCCCUUUUGCAGCAAGUGGGACACACUACCAACCCAAGAGGGAAAUGCGGUCAUGGCAAACAUAAUCAACGAGUUGAGUCUGUGUUUGCCAGAUGUCGACAUAAAUUCUCAAAUUAUCCGCCUUUCAACUUCUGAAGCUCUUGCGGCCGAGAAACAUGGAGUCAUGAAUUCAGAAUUUGCCUCACUUACAAAGUAGAUUGGCCGUUUGGUUUCAAAAAGCAUGGGAACAAGACUUGAACAACAUUGGCGGUUAUUUAGAUCAUUUCUGAAUGUAUGUUAAUCACGAAGCUACAACUGUCUGGGCAAAAAACACCUCGUUCAGUCAUGACCUGUUAUCAAGAUUUCUCUCUUUCCAACAAAAAUAACUGCUAUAGACGAAAGUUAUCAUGUAAACUUACAUUUCUUCCUGUUUGCUUAAACCCUCCUCUCAACCGACCUGCUGUGUCGCUUGCAGUAAUUAAAGCUAAAGAACUUUA